rnacentral:lncRNA from 1 species
GCAUAGAGAAAAAUGCUGGGAGUCAGGCAUGGGGAAUGAAAUGUGAUAUCUAUUACAGUUCUGUCCUCGUUACUGAUUGAAAUACUCCUUAAACCUAUCCAUUUACAAAAGCAUUCCUCUGUUUUGUUUAGGCAGGGGUGUCGUCCUGCCCUAGAAGGAAAUCCAAGGGCAACCUCGUGUGAGUCGGUGACUGGUAGAACAAUACCAUGGAGAAGAGUGUGUUGUGAUCCAUUUUGAACCUGCGUGACAGGAACAGGGAAUGCGGGAGAUAUGUCUAUGAAUAAUUGCUAAAGGUGUGUGAGCAACAAAUAUUUUACCUUUGAACUGGAGGUGAACAAAAAGGUCUAAUAUUUAUCUUUUUUUUUUUUCUGAUACUUAUAAUGCUUGCCAAUUGGAAAACUGAGAAAUCUCACAAUUUUUAAUUUACUUUUAUUUCUAUUUUAUUUUUCCCUCAAAGAAGUAUUGAGAUACCAUAUGAACUGAGGUGUUUGAAAAACCUCCUAGGAACUCAUUCCUUCAAUGUGCCAGUUCAGUUAUAAAUAUCUGUCGAUUCAAAAUGUUUUGUUUCGUUUUGUUCCCUUGAGUUGUCAAAAUCAGAGAGCUUAAUAAGACCCUGUUAUCAGAAGAUAAAUUUGGGAAAAGAAGCACAAGGAUUUAAACUCACUCCCAUCAUAAGAUAGUAGGGUAGGGUACGGUAGGGUACGGUAGGGUAGGGUAGGGUAGGGUAGGGAAGGGUAGGGAAGGGUAAAGGGAAGGGAAGGGAAGGGAAGGGAAGGGAAGGGAAGGGAAGGGAUUUCCUGUCAUUUUUGUUGUUGGUGGUUUUGUUGCUGUUGGCUGUCCUGAAAAAAAAAAAAAAUCAGUAUUUUAUUUAUUUAUUUAUGUAUUUAUUAGUUACUUAAUGUACACUUUCAGAGAAGGAAAACCAGGCAGAGAUCAUCUUGGUGAAGCAUAUCAGGGGCAGGUGUACAUAUAUUAAUUUUGAUAAUAAGUAGGCAGAAGUUCCAGCAAAUUGUGAUAAACACUGAGGAAUCAAACAACACUGCUUGAAAGGUAAUUAUUCAGAUAUAACCGCACUUUUGAUCAAACGGAAGGUUAAG